CUGGCGGCACGCCUAACACAUGCAAGUCGAACGAAGUAGCAAUACUUAGUGGCAGACGGGUGAGUAACAUGUGGGUAUCUACCCUUUGGCCUGGAAUAACACGAGGAAACUUGUGCUAAUACUGGAUAAGUCUUUACGGAGAAAGCUUUAUGCACCAUUGGAUGAGCCUGCACUUGAUUAGUUUGUUGGUGGGGUAAUGGCCUACCAAGACUGUGAUCAAUAGCUGAUUUGAGAGGAUGAUCAGCCACAUUGGGACUGAGACACGGCCCAAACUCCUACGGGAGGCAGCAGUGGGGAAUCUUGCACAAUGGAGGAAACUCUGAUGCAGCGAUGCCGCGUGAGUGAAGAAGGCCUUUGGGUUGUAAAGCUCUUUCGUCGGGGAAGAAAAUGACUGUACCCGAAUAAGAAGGUCCGGCUAA
rnacentral:rRNA from 1 species